rnacentral:rRNA from 1 species
UACGGAGGGGGCGAGCGUUAUUCGGAAUCAUUGGGCGUAAAGGGCGCGUAGGCGGCUUCAUAAGUCUUGGGUGAAAGCCCUCGGCUCAACCGAGGAAUUGCCUUGGAUACUGUGAAGCUCGAGGCUGGAAGAGGACAGUGGAAUUCCCGGUGUAGCGGUGAAAUGCGUAGAUAUCGGGAGGAACAUCUGUGGCGAAGGCGACACCCUGGACCAGCACUGACACUGAGGCACGAAAGCGUGGGGAGCAAACAGG